UUUUAGAGCCAUACCACCCUGAAUGUGCCCAAUCUUAUUUGGUCUCAGAAGCUAAGCAGGGUUGAGCCUGGUUAGUACUUGGAUAGGAGAAAUCUGAAUUUUGGAACACUCUUUAAA
rnacentral:rRNA from 1 species